rnacentral:sRNA from 1 species
CCCCGGUUGACCCAGUGGCUGGUGUCCC